GGGAAUUUUCCGCAAUGGGCGAAAGUCUGACGGAGCAAUACCGCGUGGAGGAAGACGCAUUUCGGUGUGUAAACUCCUUUUCUGUGGGACGAUAGUGACGGUACCACAGGAAUAAGCAUCGGCUAACUACGUGCCAGCAGCAGCGGUAAUACGUAGGAUGCAAGCGUUAACCGGAAUUAUUGGGCGUAAAGAGCAUGUAGGCGGUUUCGAUAGUCCGUUGUUAAAGGCUUGUGCUUAACAUGAGUUUCGCAAUGGAUACUUCGAUUCUAGAGAUGGUGAGGGGAAAACGGAAUUCCCGGUGUAGCGGUAAAAUGCAUUGAUAUCGGGAGGAACACCAGAAGCGAAGGCGGUUUUCUAACACCAUUCUGACGCUGAGAUGCGAAGGCUGGGGGAGCGAAAGGGAUUAGAUACCCCUGUAGUC
rnacentral:rRNA from 1 species